CCUACGGGAGGCUGCAGUGGGGAAUAUUGGACAAUGGGGGGAACCCUGAUCCAGCCAUGCCGCGUGUGUGAAGAAGGCCCUCGGGUUGUAAAACACUUUCAGUGAGGAAGAACGCCUGGUGGUUAAUACCCAUCAGGAAAGACAUCACUCACAGAAGAAGCACCGGCUAACUCCGUGCCAGCAGCCGCGGUAAUACGGAGGGUGCGAGCGUUAAUCGGAAUUACUGGGCGUAAAGCGCGCGUAGGUGGCUUGAUAAGCCGGUUGUGAAAGCCCCGGGCUCAACCUGGGAACGGCAUCCGGAACUGUCAAGCUAGAGUGCAGGAGAGGAAGGUAGAAUUCCCGGUGUAGCGGUGAAAUGCGUAGAGAUCGGGAGGAAUACCAGUGGCGAAGGCGGCCUUCUGGACUGACACUGACACUGAGGUGCGAAAGCGUGGGUAGCAAACAGGAUUAGAUACCCCGGUAGUC
rnacentral:rRNA from 1 species